GAUGAACGCUGGCGGCGUGCCUAAUACAUGCAAGUCGAGUGAACAGACGAGGAGCUUGCUCCUCUGACGUUAGCGGCGGACGGGUGAGUAACACGUGGAUAACCUACCUAUAAGACUGGGAUAACUUCGGGAAACCGGAGCUAAUACCGGAUAAUAUAUUGAACCGCAUGGUUCAAUAGUGAAAGACGGUUUUGCUGUCACUUAUAGAUAGAUCCGCGCCGCAUUAGCUAGUUGGUAAGGUAACGGCUUACCAAGGCAACGAUGCGUAGCCGACCUGAGAGGGUGAUCGGCCACACUGGAACUGAGACACGGUCCAGACUCCUACGGGAGGCAGCAGUAGGGAAUCUUCCGCAAUGGGCGAAAGCCUGACGGAGCAACGCCGCGUGAGUGAUGAAGGUCUUCGGAUCGUAAAACUCUGUUAUUAGGGAAGAACAAAUGUGUAAGUAACUAUGCACGUCUUGACGGUACCUAAUCAGAAAGCCACGGCUAACUACGUG
rnacentral:rRNA from 1 species